rnacentral:rRNA from 1 species
GACGAACGCUGGCGGCGUGCUUAACACAUGCAAGUCGAACGGAGUGGCGAACGGGUGAGUAACACGUGGGUGAUCUGCCUUGCAGUUCGGGAUAAGCUUGGGAAACUGGGUCUAAUCCCGGAUAGUGCAAGAUGAGCUCGCGGCCGAUCAGUUUGGUGGUGGGGUAAUGGCCUACCAAGGCGUCGACGGGUAGCCGGCCUUAGAGGGUGUACGGCCACAUUGGGACAGGGAUUGGAGCCAGACACCGACAGGAGGCAGCAGUGGGGAAUGUGGAACAAUGGGCGGAGGCCUAAGGCAGGGAAGCAGGGUGGGGGAUGAAGGCCUUCGAGUUGUAAACUCAUUUCGACAGGGACGCGGUACCUGAAUAAGAAGCACCGGCUAACUACGUGCCAGCAGCCGCGGUAAUAC